UUAAGCGACUAAGCGUACACGGUGGAUGCCCUGGCAGUCAGAGGCGAUGAAGGACGUGCUAAUCUGCGAUAAGCGUCGGUGAGGUGAUAUGAACCGUUAUAACCGGCGAUUUCCGAAUGGGGAAACCCAGUGUGUUUCGACACACUAUCAUUAACUGAAUCCAUAGGUUAAUGAGGCGAACCGGGGGAACUGAAACAUCUAAGUACCCCGAGGAAAAGAAAUCAACCGAGAUUCCCCCAGUAGCGGCGAGCGAACGGGGAGGAGCCCAGAGCCUGAAUCAGUGUGUGUGUUAGUGGAAGCGUCUGGAAAGGCGCGCGAUACAGGGUGACAGCCCCGUACACAAAAAUGCACAUAUUGUGAGCUCGAUGAGUAGGGCGGGACACGUGGUAUCCUGUCUGAAUAUGGGGGGACCAUCCUCCAAGGCUAAAUACUCCUGACUGACCGAUAGUGAACCAGUACCGUGAGGGAAAGGCGAAAAGAACCCCGGCGAGGGGAGUGAAAAAGAACCUGAAACCGUGUACGUACAAGCAGUGGGAGCCUCUUAAUGGGGUGACUGCGUACCUUUUGUAUAAUGGGUCAGCGACUUAUAUUCUGUAGCAAGGUUAACCGAAUAGGGGAGCCGAAGGGAAACCGAGUCUUAACUGGGCGUUAAGUUGCAGGGUAUAGACCCGAAACCCGGUGAUCUAGCCAUGGGCAGGUUGAAGGUUGGGUAACACUAACUGGAGGACCGAACCGACUAAUGUUGAAAAAUUAGCGGAUGACUUGUGGCUGGGGGUGAAAGGCCAAUCAAACCGGGAGAUAGCUGGUUCUCCCCGAAAGCUAUUUAGGUAGCGCCUCGUGAAUUCAUCUCCGGGGGUAGAGCACUGUUUCGGCAAGGGGGUCAUCCCGACUUACCAACCCGAUGCAAACUGCGAAUACCGGAGAAUGUUAUCACGGGAGACACACGGCGGGUGCUAACGUCCGUCGUGAAGAGGGAAACAACCCAGACCGCCAGCUAAGGUCCCAAAGUCAUGGUUAAGUGGGAAACGAUGUGGGAAGGCCCAGACAGCCAGGAUGUUGGCUUAGAAGCAGCCAUCAUUUAAAGAAAGCGUAAUAGCUCACUGGUCGAGUCGGCCUGCGCGGAAGAUGUAACGGGGCUAAACCAUGCACCGAAGCUGCGGCAGCGACGCUUAUGCGUUGUUGGGUAGGGGAGCGUUCUGUAAGCCUGUGAAGGUGGCCUGUGAGGGUUGCUGGAGGUAUCAGAAGUGCGAAUGCUGACAUAAGUAACGAUAAAGCGGGUGAAAAGCCCGCUCGCCGGAAGACCAAGGGUUCCUGUCCAACGUUAAUCGGGGCAGGGUGAGUCGACCCCUAAGGCGAGGCCGAAAGGCGUAGUCGAUGGGAAACAGGUUAAUAUUCCUGUACUUGGUGUUACUGCGAAGGGGGGACGGAGAAGGCUAUGUUGGCCGGGCGACGGUUGUCCCGGUUUAAGCGUGUAGGCUGGUUUUCCAGGCAAAUCCGGAAAACCAAGGCUGAGGCGUGAUGACGAGGCACUACGGUGCUGAAGUGACAAAUGCCCUGCUUCCAGGAAAAGCCUCUAAGCAUCAGGUAACAUCAAAUCGUACCCCAAACCGACACAGGUGGUCAGGUAGAGAAUACCAAGGCGCUUGAGAGAACUCGGGUGAAGGAACUAGGCAAAAUGGUGCCGUAACUUCGGGAGAAGGCACGCUGAUAUGUAGGUGAAGCGACUUGCUCGUGGAGCUGAAAUCAGUCGAAGAUACCAGCUGGCUGCAACUGUUUAUUAAAAACACAGCACUGUGCAAACACGAAAGUGGACGUAUACGGUGUGACGCCUGCCCGGUGCCGGAAGGUUAAUUGAUGGGGUUAGCGGUAACGCGAAGCUCUUGAUCGAAGCCCCGGUAAACGGCGGCCGUAACUAUAACGGUCCUAAGGUAGCGAAAUUCCUUGUCGGGUAAGUUCCGACCUGCACGAAUGGCGUAAUGAUGGCCAGGCUGUCUCCACCCGAGACUCAGUGAAAUUGAACUCGCUGUGAAGAUGCAGUGUACCCGCGGCAAGACGGAAAGACCCCGUGAACCUUUACUAUAGCUUGACACUGAACAUUGAGCCUUGAUGUGUAGGAUAGGUGGGAGGCUUUGAAGUGUGGACGCCAGUCUGCAUGGAGCCGACCUUGAAAUACCACCCUUUAAUGUUUGAUGUUCUAACGUUGGCCCGUAAUCCGGGUUGCGGACAGUGUCUGGUGGGUAGUUUGACUGGGGCGGUCUCCUCCUAAAGAGUAACGGAGGAGCACGAAGGUUGGCUAAUCCUGGUCGGACAUCAGGAGGUUAGUGCAAUGGCAUAAGCCAGCUUGACUGCGAGCGUGACGGCGCGAGCAGGUGCGAAAGCAGGUCAUAGUGAUCCGGUGGUUCUGAAUGGAAGGGCCAUCGCUCAACGGAUAAAAGGUACUCCGGGGAUAACAGGCUGAUACCGCCCAAGAGUUCAUAUCGACGGCGGUGUUUGGCACCUCGAUGUCGGCUCAUCACAUCCUGGGGCUGAAGUAGGUCCCAAGGGUAUGGCUGUUCGCCAUUUAAAGUGGUACGCGAGCUGGGUUUAGAACGUCGUGAGACAGUUCGGUCCCUAUCUGCCGUGGGCGCUGGAGAACUGAGGGGGGCUGCUCCUAGUACGAGAGGACCGGAGUGGACGCAUCACUGGUGUUCGGGUUGUCAUGCCAAUGGCACUGCCCGGUAGCUAAAUGCGGAAGAGAUAAGUGCUGAAAGCAUCUAAGCACGAAACUUGCCCCGAGAUGAGUUCUCCCUGAGACUUUAAGUCUCCUGAAGGAACGUUGAAGACGACGACGUUGAUAGGCCGGGUGUGUAAGCGCAGCGAUGCGUUGAGCUAACCGGUACUAAUGAACCGUGAGGCUUAACCUU
rnacentral:rRNA from 1 species